GAGGGUAUAGCUCAGUAGUAGAGUGCAUGCCUAGCAUGCAUGAGGUCCUAGGUUCAGUCCCCAGUACCUCUG
rnacentral:tRNA from 1 species